rnacentral:tRNA from 1 species
UGCACUAGUAGCUCAGCAUCAGAGCGCCGGUCUUGUAAACCGGACGUCGAAGGUUAGAGUCCUUCCUUCUGCU